AUAUGACCCACAUAUUAAUUAAUUAAUAGAAAUUUAUAAAAAUGCGUUAUAUAUAGAGAAAUGAGUUGGAAUGUUAUCGGUAGCAAACGAGUUCUAUUGCUACUCAUUUAUUUUCAAUGAUGGAGCCUCUAAAUCGACGAUCAACACCGUUGAACAUGAUCUAUACCACUUGAAGUAUUUGAAAACUAAAUUUUAAAUCUUUUCGACAUUAUUAACCUAAUGAUUAAAGGGUUUCAAAAUUUAUAAUUUUAAUGAUAAAUAUGAGGUGUUUUCUCGUUUAAGGAUGUAAAGCUAUCCAAAUCAAUUGAAGUUUGAUUAGAAAAUUCUUUAAACUAUUUAGAACAAGAUCUAUACUCUCAAUCUUGAUUACAAAAUUUCUAUCAUCACUUUUUAGAAGAUAUUUAUUUUCAGUCGUUCAUUUUUAUUUGCAUUUGAUGGGCAAGAGAACAAUAUUGAAAAAAUAUGAAAUUAAUUUGGUUUAUAGAUAUACUUCAAAUAGUAUAUAUCAUAUUCAACGAUGUCGAUUAUCGAUUUGAAAGCUUCAUCAUAAAAAAUAAAUGGAUGCAACGAAAUCCGUUUGCUACCGAUAGCAUUCCAGCUCAACUCUGUGUGUGUGUGUGUGUGUGUGUGUGUGUGUGUGAAUUGAACAUCCAAUAAGAA
rnacentral:lncRNA from 1 species